CUCUGUCCUUCUUUUCUCUCCUAAUGUCCGACUUUGCUAGUAGCUCCAUAUUAUUGGUGUCUGAGUGUAUAACAGAGCUACACAGCAAAAAUACUCAGAGUAAUGUUUCUUUAAACUACAAUAAAUGUGUCCUCACGCAAAAUGUUAUGGUAUGAUAAUGUCCUCACGCAAAAUGUUAUGGUAUGAUAAUGUCCACACGCAAUAUGUUAUGGUAUGAUAAUAUCGACAUGCAAUAUGUUAUGGUAUGAUAAUGUCCACACACUAUGUUAUGGUAUGAUAAUGUCCACACGCAAUAUCAAUAUGUUAUGGUAUGAUAAUAUCCACACGCUAUAUGUUAUGGUAUGAUAAUGUCCACACGCACUAUGUUAUGGUAUGAUAAUGUCCACACGCAAUAUGUUAUGGUAUGAUAAUGUCCACACGCACUAUGUUAUGGUAUGAUAAUGUCCACAUGCACUAUGUUAUGGUAUGAUAAUAUCCACAUGCAAUAUGUUAUGGUAUGAUAAUGUCCACAUGCACUAUGUUAUGGUAUGAUAAUGUCAACACGCACUAUGUUAUGGUAUGAUAAUAUCCACAUGCAAUAUGUUAUGGUAUGAUAAUGUCCUCACGCACUAUGUUAUGGUAUGAUAAUGUCCACACGCACUAUGUUAUGGUAUGAUAAUGUCCACACGCAAUAUGUUAUGGUAUGAUAAUGUCCACACGCACUAUGUUAUGGUAUGAUAAUGUCCACACGCACUAUGUUAUGGUAUGAUAAUAUCCACAUGCAAUAUGUUAUGGUAUGAUAAUGUCC